rnacentral:rRNA from 1 species
GGCGAACGCUGGCGGCGUGCCUAAUACAUGCAAGUUGAGCGCUGAAGGUUGGUACUUGUACCGACUGGAUGAGCAGCGAACGGGUGAGUAACGCGUGGGGAAUCUGCCUUUGAGCGGGGGACAACAUUUGGAAACGAAUGCUAAUACCGCAUAAAAACUUUAAACACAAGUUUUAAGUUUGAAAGAUGCAAUUGCAUCACUCAAAGAUGAUCCCGCGUUGUAUUAGCUAGUUGGUGAGGUAAAGGCUCACCAAGGCGAUGAUACAUAGCCGACCUGAGAGGGUGAUCGGCCACAGUGGGACUGAGACACGGCCCAAACUCCUACGGGAGGCAGCAGUAGGGAAUCUUCGGCAAUGGACGAAAGUCUGACCGAGCAACGCCGCGUGAGUGAAGAAGGUUUUCGGAUCGUAAAACUCUGUUGGUAGAGAAGAACGUUGGUGGGAGUGGAAAGCUCAUCAAGUGACGGUAACUACCCAGAAAGGGACGGCUAACUACGUG